AAAAGAGGGAUAAGGAAUAACUUGGGUUGAGCACUCUCUUUGUCGCACGCAUUGUGUGGCACCGUGCUAUGAAAUGUGAAUGGUGUCAUGCUGUGGACAGCUUCCCCUCGGCUCUGCCCAGCCCUGUGUGUCCUGAUGCAUGAGCAAUGUGCACGGUUGUGGCUGGGCUCUUAUACUCAACUAUCAGCCUUGUGCACCUCCAUGGCCUCAGGAAGCCUGAAAAUGACAAAGAGAGCAAGGCAAAGCACGGGGAGGGAUUUUGUCACUGACCUGAGUUAUGCUAAGCCCACAAAAUGAUCCCUUGAUGUUUUCUUUCCUUUAAGGUCUCCUUCUUCCCCCACCAUAUAUGAAAUGUGGAUUUUUUUUUUUUUUGCUUGAUAAUUAUCUGCCCUAAAUCAAGGGGUUUUAAUGGGAGGUAGAGCUGAAACUUUCCUGUCCACAUUCCUCCAGAGCUGCUCUUUCCUUGGCUCUAGAGCAACAUGCAAUACCACGCAUAAAGGUUUCACUAAGAUUUUGCUGUCACUGCUACUGUAAAACACUCAUUGUAUUUGAGUCAAAAACUUACCUUAUUCUAGAUCAACUAAAAAUAAGGAUGCUCAAAGAGAAAUAGCUGUGAUCCCUAAAUGGGUUGUGAGUUUUGAAGUUGAAAGAAUGUCUGUGUCCUUUUAAACUGUGCGUGGCUCUUUUUUAAGGUGAAAGAUGGGGUUUCUGUCUGUUCUGCACCUGAUGGUUCAGAUUUGAUGAUGGUAGCUUCCACAGUCUUGGCAGCUGGAGUUGUACAGCUUUGGGAUAGAGGGCUGCACCAUUCCAGGACACUACGUUGCUUUGGGGAGGCGAUUUACCCUAAGGGAAAUCAUUUCUUGAAGAGAGGGAGCAGGAUGGGCUUUCAGAUGAUGUGAAUGGUGCUGGCUGGGAAGUACAGUCUUUGCAGAAACUCUUUCAGAGAAGGCUGGUUUCACAUCUGUCGUAAGAUACAGGAGCACUUUUUAAGAGAUUAUACUUUCCUAAGAGUAGAUUGUAAUUCAGAGAGAGGCAGGAAAAGAAUGCCUUUUUGCGACCCACCAAACUAUGAGUUAAAGCUGAUGGACACUCAGGUGUUGUCUCUGGCUCAGUUGCCCAUAGGUACUUUUCUCUAAAAUGGCACGUGUUGCAUCCCGUUUCACAUGGCCUACUGAGCUGUGUCCUAAAACUCUCACCUGAUUCUCCAGCUACAAGGACUCAUUGACAGAGACAGAAGUUUCUUGCCUCCCCAGCCAGGAAGAAAAAGACAAUAGGACUCAUGAAAGAGAGGGAGGAGAGCUCAGAAGGAGACUUUGCUGGCAGAUGACUACAGUGAAUAUCACAGCCCCGUUUAGCACAUCAGUCUCUCCAGAGCAGCUGAUGGCAUAUGUGAAAUGCAGCAAGUCCUUGGGCUAUUGUGUAACUUGGGGGAUGCCUGCAGCCGCUGCUCAUAAUUAAUCAUUUAUGCACAGUAAAAUCAAGUGACUUUACUGACAGUAUCCAAACUGCUGACCUCAAUGCAUUUUAAAAGUUCGAUGGAUACUGAACCUCGAAUGACCCAUGGAUGAAUCUGGAAUAAUAAUUUUCAUAAUCCUCAAGUCAUUAUCUUAAGAGGGAACGUAUUGUUCUCCUAAUUAAGUCCGUCCACACGCUGUGCAUCUUCCCAUGCAAAUGCACUGUGCAUAAAGUAAUUAAAAGAAAAAUACAGCCACAAGGACUUAAACUGUCUUUUAUGCAAUCUCUUUAAAUUAUAAGGAAUCUCCUUCCUCCCCCCUCACACACACACUCUAACACGGAAUUCGGCACCAUAUUCAGCAGGGAAAACCACUGAGCACUUUUGGAUCAGAAUCUGAAAUUCCACAGAAUUUAUUAGAAAGCCUUUGUUUUAUUACAUUUUUGUGAGGGCCCUGGUUGUGUAGAAGACCCUAAUUAAGAGAGAGUUAUGAUCAUUUAAUAGGACACAGUCCCUGCCCUGAAGAGCUUACAGUCUAAACAGACAGGACAGCCAAAAGCUGAAAGAGCCUUGUUUGCAGUUACACAGUUCAGCCAUUGAAGAGUUGAAUGACUUUUUCAAGGUCAUACAUACAGGGCUGGAAAUUGGAGGCAGACCUGUUUCAGCUCUGCAGGUAGCUAGGUCUUCCACCUUUAGCAAGAGACCCAAAAGAUGUAAUGUGUAGGAACCUAUUUGAUGCAACAGCACCAAAGGGCAAUUUCCCAGGGAAACUCACUGGUAUUUGGUUAGCUGGGAAAUGGCUGAGAGACUACUUGGCUUCUAUCAGUAGUUGUUUCAUGUUCUUGGGCGCGGUGGAGGCUGUCCCACUGGAAAGCAAUGUGUUAGAGGCAUGAGACUGUCUUAAAACAUUUUCUGUCAUCUUUCUCCACUUAAGCUUCAACAGCGCGAUUCAGAUGUAGCAGAAGCCCCACAUGCCGGCAGUGUGUGCUCUCACGCCGUCUGUGUGCCUCGUGUUGGACCAUGGUUUUACUGAACCCUGGGCCUUUUUUGCUUGGUUGUGACAAGAACAUGAAUGAAGCAGAUUGAAGGAUAUCAUCAAGGUCAGCCUUUUUGCUGUAAUCUCCCUUGGGACCAUUGCUGAUGCUGCCUUCGACUUCUUGUUUGCUGAAGAGGAGAAGUGGGAAGCUCUGGAUAUGUCCUGCUUGCUAUUUCCACUCCUUUAGUAAGAUGUGUUUGGCAUCUGCACAUCUGCUAGAGCACUGUAACAUCACUGCUUGCUCUCCUCCUCUAAGAAAUCAAGAGCAAAGUAAAUAUUUUGUUGAAUAUAUAUAUUCAUAGUCUCCGUGGGUGCAGGAAGAGACAUCUGUGCGUACUAGCAUGCUAAACUUGGGAGUAGCCUAAACCAGGGCGUAUGUGAGCAAAUAACUUGGAUUUUUCUCUUGCUCAGACUUUCUCCCACAAACCCCUUUCUUGGCUACUGGGGAAUGCAGUAGCCCUGGGGCCUCUAAGUUGGAACAACAAUCUUGUAAACUGAGUUUGAAUAUAAUAUUGGAGCAACUCAGUGUUUUCACUGGUCUUGAAUGGUCUUCAGUGUGUUUUGUGGUAGAGAGAUUGUCAUUUGCAGAUCUCAUGCACGUAACUGUGGGCCUGAUCUGCACGGAGGCCAUGACUGGCAGGUCACAGCAAACAGGACAGCCAGCAAAGGAAGGGUUUGUGAGUAGCCUGACCCGAGCGAACUACUCAGACAAAGAAGGUGAUAUUUGCAUUGAGGUGAAUGUGGAUAAUGCAGCCAGACCCACCCAUGCGACAGGACACAACAGCAAUCGCUGUGCAACUCAGCUGCUCUGAACCAAGUGGAAUAAUAACAGCUAGUUGGUGCCUGCAGCUUCUGAGCAAGCAAUAUCUGCAAUUAAUGAGGCAUCGGAGGUUCAAAUUUCAGAAACGGACAACCACUGUGUGUGAAUGCCAUCCACAACGGGACUACAUCAGAGGGAAAUGGCAACCGAGCUCUCAAUGGCCUUGACAUGAUUGGAUAGGAAUUUUCCCAUCAAUUUUGAGAAAGCACAGGUCCUUGCUCUCUGUUUUAGCAGGUGUUUAUAAGUGCAAAGUGAAAGAUGAAAUUUGCUGAGGCUGGUGUUGAUUACUGCUUAAUUCUUUGCAAGUGGCAGGUUUCCUGACAGCAUCCCUACCAAUGCAGUAGUGGUUGAAAAAAGCAGCUAGAAAAGGAGGAUGAAGAAGAGCCUGGCUCUGUGGCCGAGAGGCCCCUCAGCACAGCAUCAGAACCGGAGCGAACAGGCAGUUCUCUUAUCUGAUGUAGCCUGGAGAGCAGACAGAUAGGACUGAGCAGUCAGUAUGAUGGGAAUGUGGUGGGUGGACUCUACCAAGAGAAAAGAAACCCUCCCCUCUAUGGAUGAACCUUCAUCUCUCUUUUUCCCCCCUCUCCAGUUCUCAUUCCAGUAAAAGGGAGGAUAUUUUCCCCAUCUAGCAAUGAGAUGAAAGAGUGCCCCCCAUUUGACACUUCAUGAGUUGGCUGAACCCUACAAAAUGAUCUUCAUAAAAUCCUGAUUCCAAAGCAUCAAAGCCUUUCCUGACUGGUGAAAACCCUAAAAAUUCCUGGAAGAACUGCCAAAGGGCAAUGGGGCUGAUUCUGUCAACUGCCUUUGGUUAGAGCUGGGUUUGGUUAUUUAUGGGGGCUGGAGGAGGCAAGAACUUUCCAGAUGGGCGGCUGAACCAAAUAUAACAAUGAUAAAAAUCAAUGCAGUUAUGUGAAGGGAAAAGAAUGCCUGCGCUAAAGGGCUGCAUGAGGCACACACUUCUUUCUCUGUGCUGAAACAUCCCGCAGCACAGAGCUGCUUGUGGCAUCCCAGCCUGCACUGUUUCAUCCCUGUGCAUCGCACAGACACCUCCUCUGUGUCUGCUGAAAUGUGGCCUCUGCUGGGUGGAUCCUGGCUGGAUUUAAUAGUACCUGCCUGACAAGACUCCACACCGAUUGAGGGGUAAACACUUCAUCCUACUAAAAACACGGUUGGGAGAGUAAUCACCCAAAUGCAAUGAGAUGUCAUCCCCACCCUGAUGAGAUUACAGGAGGGCUCAUCUCUUGGCCCGCGCAAGAAGCGAACAACUGAUUAGCAGCAUGACUUUUGUUUCCCCUUAAAGGCUGUGGUGUUCUGAUGUCUGGGUCAUGCUGGGACUCCAAAGAAACAGAUGUGUGUCUCGUCAGAUUGCGGCUCAAACAGAAUUGGUCAGUGAGUGAUAGAGGCCGAGGCACAGGGUAUCAAAUGGGCUGGAUGAAAGGCAAAGUGUGAAGAUUAACUUUUCCUGUCUGAAAAGUCUGAAGAAAUUUGAUGUUGCGAUGUGAUGGUGUAGAGAACCUGAGCGGAGGGCCAGUCCUCAAAACCAUCUGGGUUCUUAAGUCACCUUGAAGCUUUAGCUGUGAUUUCUUAGAGCCCUCUUGGCGUGUGUGGCACUCCACUGUUAUGAGUGAGAGUGAAAAAUUAUUGCUUCUCCAAAGGCAUUGCAGUCUAUGUGUACAAGGGAAGAGAAAGCAUAAGAAAGGCAGAACAUAUGGGAUUGCAACUGAUUGAAAUAUCUUUGAAUGCAUCCAAGAAUAGAGGAGGAGGAUUCGGUAAUUCCUCCAAGAAGGAAGCUUGCUUGCCAUCUACUUUGUGAGGAAGUAUGCUGAGUGUCUGGUGCAAGAAGGAGGAUGGCUAGGAGUCAGGAAUGAGCGAGAGAGUUGAAAUAUCUGGUGAGACAGGGAGUUGGAGUUUGUGACUGCAAACUGCCCUUGGCUAACUGUACCACUGGCUUUCCUAUGUUAGUGAAGUUUUGGAUGCGUGCAUGGGUUGUUAGUAGUCUUAGAAUUAGCCAGUCCAAUGUCAUCAUCUUCCCAGUGUUGAUCUUUAUUUUUGGAGGUGGAAAACCUUCAGUACUGUGUGGAAACAAAAUGCAAAGAAUAUUUAAAAAAUUGUCCCUCAGGCAAAUGUUUUUUUUUCCAGAGUCCCCUUAUUCUUCUCUCAGUCUGAUAUUUGCACUCCUUGGCCUCACCUGUUGGCCAUUAUGUGUUUACAGUAGUGAAAAAGUGGUGAGGCUCAGCCUACUGAGGUUGGCUUUCAUCACUGUGCGGUGCAUCCCAGCUCUCUAGGUAAGUAAUGAAACUGGGGGGAAAUAGUCUCCCUUACUUAACAGAUACAGAGCCUUAUUCAGUGGGUUUCUCUGUUCAGGUCAGGUGUGCGUGGGCUGCCAUCAGGUUUGCCUUUCACUGCCACGAUGCUUCGUGGGAACACAGCCAUGGCCACAGUCCUCAGUCAGCCAAGGUGCUUCCUCCUCUCUCUGCUCGUUACCCACAGAAGGACUCUGCCUGCAGCUCUUCAGAAAUUCAGCAGGAGAAGGCCAGGAUGAGACUAUAUUGAUUGUUCUCUUAAUGUUGCAACAUCUCUUUUCCGAAUAUUCAUUCCCGCAAGUCUUCAAGCAGCUCCAGCCCUACAGGGACUGGAACAACCAUUGCAAUGCAGAGGACAUGUGCCAAGCCUGUAUUUUCUGGAACCAGCAGUAGGCCACAACCAAGAGUCUUCUUCCGUCUCAGGAUGAGUGCUUCUCUCUGAUGCAGCUGACACACUGGCAGCAGGACCCCAAAUUGAGCUUCAAGUGCAUGGGCAGGACAUGAAGAAGGACCGCAGGUUAAUGUGGCUUCAGCGAAACCUGUCUUCAGCCUCCAUUUCAUUGUUGUCACCCAAAAUUUCAGAACCUUCCUGUGAUACUUGAAUGGCCAUUUAUUAUGGUUAUCACAACGGUAAAAUUGUCAUGGGUAAAAACAUCCCAUUGUCCAGAAAUACAAGAUGAUAGCAUCAGCGAAGAGGGCCCAUCCUCCACACCUCCCUUCCCCUUGUAACUCCUCCACACUCAGGAAGUGGCAAGUCUGUGCUGUGUGGCCAAAAACACAGCAGAAUAACUCUAGUGAAGAAGGGAGUUAGAGCUGAUCGGUAAGCCAGGCAUGGGCACUGAACAUCUCUCAAGAGAUAAGUCUCUGACGCUUGAUUCUUUUCAGUCCUUUUGGAGACCGUGAUAAGGAGGCGGCAGUUCCUUUGUCAGGGUUGCUCACGCUCUUUUGUGCAGUGUGUUCAGUCACUGAACUUGUUCAGAUAAGACAAACAUCUAAACUCCAUUUCCGGAGACACAUACCAGUCUUUGCACUCAGGCAAUGGUUAUGCCAGCGGUAGACUACUAGGGACAGGUCUGAUGUUGAAAGCCUGUGGAAGGAUGUUCCACAGUAGCUGGUGGUUCCGUGUCUCCUUUGCUUCCCUGGAGCUGGAGUUCAGGCGUUCCAAUUGGUCCAAAGAUCUGGGGUAUUUGGCAAAGGUGGCUACAAGUGUUCCAACACCAGAGAGGGAAAGACUUCUGAAAACCUCAACAAAAUUCUGGAUACUUAGGGCUAAACAAAGCUGGGCCCUCCCAAAGGCCGGUUUUGUCCAGACUGGUGUGUAUCCAGACUCACAGGAUUUGUGAGUCCUCAGCCGUCAGAAGAAAACUUGUAGUUAGCGAGUGCUUCAGUCACUGCUGAAAGGCAGCCACAAGGGAAUGGAAACAUGAUUGAUUAAAGCGAACAAUGUCUGGACACAAUUGUUUAGGACAGACAGUGCAGGAAAAUAAAGCAGGCAACUGGAAAUCUGCAGAGAAUUUUGUAAGGUGUCAGAAUUUGAUAAAUGCCUAAGGUAGAAAUCAGUCCAGGUGUUACUUACACCCCUGCAACAAGAAUUGCUGAGGCAACUGUUGUAACUGCAGUUGGCUAGAGUUUCUUUCUAAAAUCUCAUGCAAAGUAAGAGAUUUUCUUUGGGUUCUAGUCCUGUCUAGAAGGAAGAAGCAACUCCUGUUCAGUUGCCCUAAUUUUUUUCCAGCUUCUGAGCUUUCUGUAGAGGGCUCCCAAAUAACUCUCUCAUCUUGCUUUUGCCUGUGAGCUCUGAGAAGUCUUUGCCUGGGUUGGAAUGGGCAGAUACACAAAUAGCUAUCCCUGCUUCAGCAGGUGAAGCAGACUGAGAGCAGUCAUGCCCUAUGGGCAGUGAGGGUUAUGGGAAGAUGUGUCUUAGGGUGUAGUAUUUUCUGUUUUAAGUGUCAACAUAAAAAGGCGGAGAUACAGUUUGUGUAAAGACCGGUAUGUUUUACAGGCAUUGUACUCUGUCUGAAUACAUUUUGGUUGUAUGAUUUCUGGCAUGUCCCAAUCUGGCAAGAAGCAACCAAGCUUUUCCCUUCUUCUGGCCUGAUAGGGAAGUAAAUACCUCUGAUGAACUUUCACACCCUUGAAAAGACUUGAUUCCUCAGCAAGGGAAUAAUACCUCAAGUUCAAAAGUGGCAACCUGAAAAACGCCUGUCUUGUUCUCCUGGUCUAGGAUGAAGCAUGUCCUUGCUGUGUGCUACCCACCGUGAAUGGCCUUCUGAGUCCCUUAUCCCCUAAAAGCUUUAUUUUCUAUCUCAUAGUAUUAGUCCACAGCUCAGCCUAGUGGGAGGCUGAUCCAGUCAGCCUUGGAGGAGAUGAGAAAUAUGUCAGUAUUGGAAGGGAGGGACUGCAGGAAGAAAGCAAUAUUGUUUGACUUUUGUGGGUGGUUUUGUUUUUCAGAAUGGAAAUAAUGGGAUUAAACUUAGUUACACAGUGGUGUUCAUCCCUGUCUCCUAACUCAGGACUAGCCCCUGGCAGCCUCCUUGAGUCCUGGGCUUGGAAGUGCUGACUGUACAGCCUAAGGAGAGAAAAGAGCCGUGUGCUGCUUCUGAGGAGAUCCUUCAUGAAACUACUAUCUCACACAGGGUCAGAUAAUACAGUGGAAUACUAGUAGCAGACUGAUGUUGGCUUGUCCUAAACUGGGUACCUGGUUUUGCUGAUAUUCUACAUUGAAAAUGGAUGUACUUUAGAUGCCUCCUAGGAGUCCUGGAGGGACAGGGAUUGCUGAAACAUUGAGAACUAGCUUAAUUAUUCUGUCUGAACCUCCUUAUUAACAGAAAUACCUUCUUUGCCCUCUUCAAACGGAUUUCAUCUAAAAGGCACCAAGAGUGCUGGGCAUCUUCAGCACUCAAGGGGUUUUAGCUCCCAUUGAAAGUACUGUCACGACUAUGCCCCUGGGGGAUGUUCCUCCUUGUUGACCCCAUGCAGUGCUCAGCUUAACUCUCAUGUGAGCAGCAGUUGCACCAUUUAAGCAUCUAAUCCCAUUUAUAACCUGAGAUACCAGUUAUAAGUUGGCAAUAAAUCUUAAAAACCCUACAAUGGGAAGGCCUGUUAGGCCAUCUAGGAUGCAGUUCUGUCAGCACAGGGUUAUUCAAUUAACUGGGAUCCAGGUCAUUAGUAUGGUAGGGGUUUUUUUGUUAAUUGCUAUGACCAGAGCAGUGAUUUAAAGCAUUUCUGAAUUUCAGUGAUGUUUCCAAUCACUUUCAGUUGCCAAGGGGCAAAUACUGGGCCUAAGCCAUGUGUUGGUGUCAUGCUGUGAACAGCAACAAAAAAUCCUGUCCUGAGAGAUGCUCUUUCUGAGAGGAAUGGAUGCACACAGACCUCCUCUCCUCUCUUGUGCCAUAGUGCAUUCUCUUUUACAGGUCACUCAGAAGUGCUGUGUAAUAGUAUGGAUUUCCCAGCUUUUCCCAGGCUGUUUUCUCCAGGGGCUGGGAGCAGUUUUGGCAAGCAGUGACCAAGUCGUGGUGCCAGGGACCAAGUGAAUUCAUGACCUCACGCUUCACAGUUUUUUCCCCUGUGUUUUGCUGAUGUGCUGCAGAAACUGGAAUAAACACAUUCUGCCUUUUCCUACAAAUAAUGCAGUGGUAAAACAAUUGUUGGGCCUCUUCUUCCAGUUGUUGAAACUGCAGAACACUGCAUUCAGAUUUCUGUUGAGGCAGAGUAGUCUUCAACAUGGAAGCUGAAUCCCUGUCCCUGGUGUAACGAGUCCGUGGAGAAGGUCACAUAUGACUGACAACGCUGAGCUAAGGUGCCUGGAAUUUAUCUCCAAAAUAUUUCGGAGGGGAAAUGUGUUCAUAAAGCUAAAGCUUUGGGCUAUGCAUGCUUCUUUUCAGCCUCCUAAAGUCUCCAAAAGGGGCAGAAGGAAAAGGCUGAAAGUUCCCAGUUUCCUAAGUCACCAGCCAACUGUCCCGGCAAGCUCAUAUCUGCCCUGUUGAGAGAUGUCUGCACCCGUCUCGGCAGGGGGAGGGCGUGAACGUGGCCGAGGAGCACCGGUGUCAGGCAGGCAUCAUGCCUGCCUUUGCCAAGCUGAUGGGAACAGACAGGGACAAAGGAUCCGGGCCAGCUCUCCAACUCUGCAGGCCUGUGCUGUCCCCUGGGAAGCAUCCUCCUGCUACACUGGCCAUUGGUGACCUUGCAGGGGACAUGGAACUGCUGGCUGUCACAGCACCAGAGGGAUCAGAGAAGGAUGUAAUAGAAUCAUGAGCCAAGGUGGAAGGAGUAGAAAAAGCAGCAGCAACAGAGGAGGUGGAAAGCCCAGAGGAAGCAGAUCCAGGUGGAAAUGUGGUCACUCCUGAAGGAACAGCAGGGUUGGAAGCAUCUGAAAACCCAGAGGCAGAAAGAGUUACUGAAGCAUCUGUCCGGGCAGCAGAAAGGAUUGCAAUAUCAGAAGUAGCCAAUGUGUUGCAAUCAGCAAUAGCUGAGCUCAAAGAGAAGUGGAGGAGCACGUGGAUAAAGCCAAGCAACACCACUCAGCAGGAGGAGGAAUAGGAUCGGGUAAAAGAGGGAGAAGUGAAAUGAAAUGAAGAAGAGGUAGUGUUCUUGGUCAUACCUAAUGUGGGCCUGGUACUCCAACGCUGUGACCCCUCCUGGAACACGAUGGAGCUGCAGAUUACAUCUCUUUUGUGACUGUCCAUGCUAUUAAAAAUAAAGGUAUGCCAUACUCUGCACACAGUAGUGUUCAUGUCUCUCAAAGGCCCUUGCCUCCUGGUUUUGUGAAAUGGCAGCUCUGCACCCACUCUUCCUCAAAGAUUAAGGAGAGCAAAGCAUGCUCUUCAUGUUGGAAAACAUGCUACUGUCUUAAAAUUGUAUAUAAAAAAACA